AACGAACGCUGGCGGCAUGCCUAACACAUGCAAGUCGAACGAGACCUUCGGGUCUAGUGGCGCACGGGUGCGUAACGCGUGGGAACCUGCCCUUAGGUUCGGAAUAACUCCCCGAAAGGGGUGCUAAUACCGGAUAAUGUCUUCGGACCAAAGAUUUAUCGCCUUUGGAUGGGCCCGCGUUGGAUUAGCUAGUUGGUAGGGUAAAAGCCUACCAAGGCGACGAUCCAUAGCUGGUCUGAGAGGAUGAUCAGCCACACUGGGACUGAGACACGGCCCAGACUACUACGGGAGGCAGCAGUGGGGAAUAUUGGACAAUGGGCGAAAGCCUGAUCCAGCAAUGCCGCGUGAGUGAUGAAGGCCUUAGGGUUGUAAAGCUCUUUUAACCGGGAUGAUAAUGACAGUACCGGGAGAAUAAGCUCCGGCUAACUCCGUG
rnacentral:rRNA from 1 species